GACGGAGGAUGCAAGCGUUAUCCGGAAUGAUUGGGCGUAAAGCGUCUGUAGGUGGUUUAUUAAGUCUGCUGUUAAAGCACAGGGCUCAACCCUGUAUAGGCGGUAGAAACUGGUAGGCUUGAGUAUGGUAGGGGUAGAGGGAAUUCCCGAUGUAGUGGUGAAAUGCGUUGAUAUCGGGAAGAACACCAAAGGCGAAAGCACUCUGCUGGGCCAAUACUGACACUGAGAGACGAAAGCUAGGGGAGCAAAUGGG
rnacentral:rRNA from 1 species